CAGAAGCCACCAUCUCUACUAUUCCACUUAGGGGGACUUAUUAUCUGCUCCCCAAGGCAAAAAGGAUGGGAAAAAAGUGUAAAUGGUGUUAGUGAUGUUUGCUUUACAGAAAUGUAUGAGCUGAUUUGACAUAAUUCAAGCGAGAGGUAACAUCAAGAAAGAUAUCUUCGUUGCAGGGAAUUGUGAGACCGCCAGUAGGAUGACUAUAUCCGAACUCUUCUUGUGACAUGCCUAGCAAAUCUUGAAAUGAAGGCUGGUUCAAGAAUGAAAUUGGUAUCACAAACCUCUUCUGGUUUUCUCCAACAUAAACCGCAAAGUAGCCCUUGGGAACUUUCUUAGAGCUAAUGAUAUGAGGUAGGUGGAUAGCCAUUGCUGUUUUUGAUAGAUUUAUGCUUCUCAAAGGGAAGAAAAGGAAGAACUCAGAUAACUAGGAAAGCAAGCUUGAGAAUGUUGAAGGUAGGAGUUGGCAAUGAACUUAAUCCUACUUGUAUAUAUAGAUGUAUAGGGUAGAGAGGAAAUCAUAUUCUUCUAUUAUUAAGUGGGGGAUGUGCAAUGAGUGGUGAAGGUGCAAUUGCUGGGGUCUGAUCAGUAAUGAGAUGGGCAUGGGCUAAUGGGGACUCACAUGGUGUUGUCUUCCAAGGAAUUAUCAAGAAUUCCAUGUCAAAUACUUGAAUGAAUGGUUUUCCUACCUUGCCGGCAAAAUGAACCGACCAAGGACCUACUCAGAUUUGGAAGAUUUGGAUCCAUUAAUAUAGCUUCUUCCUAAUAGAAUAUUUUUAUUACUUCACUAAUGACAAUAGAGGCAACCUUUAGAGACAUACAAUCUGUCAUGCAAUGAUAGAGAACAAAUAACAUGGAUGACUUUGACCUCCUAUUUCAUACAGACUUCACAUAAAACUUGUAAGACAAACCCUUGUGAAGAGCGCCUGAAGUGUGUCCUACAGGCUACAAAAACUCCUCAUCUGAACCCAACUUGUUGCGUUUUAUCCAGGUUUGUUGUCUAUGCCGUGCUGCAAUCAAAUAGUUCCAUAGGGGUGAAGACAAUUAGUCCACAAUUCUGGUGGCAUGUUUGUUGUGUUCUUAGCAUAUUUUGACUAUUCGUUAUUAUAUUGGGGAGAACAGUUGUCAGGUCAAAGUCAGAAAGCUAUUCAAACUACAACAAAUUUCAAUGAAGGCUUCUUCUGCACAUGGGACUGUGAGACUACCCCUUGGAUGAUCAAAGCCAAACUCCUCUUCCAGCCUGAUUUAUCAAUUCUUAAAAUGAAGGGUGCUUCAAGAAUGAAAUUGGAUGGCCUUUGGUUAUUUAUGAAGCUGCUGUCACCUUUUGGAUAAGCUGCUUUGUGUGAACAAGUGCAGGUACUGACAAACACGCAAGUCUUAUGAACUGAGAAAUGUUGCAAGGGCAGAAUACGUUCAUCUCUAAGGCUCCUGAAUAGCUAAUGCAAAAAAUAUAUAUAUGAAAGAGUUGGUAGCCCUCUUACUCUUAUCUCAAAAUGGUCACAAAUCUAUUUGGUGUUACAUUCAGUCAUUUGUAUGUUUGUUUCCAUACAUGACUGGAGUUUAAAGUAGUUGAAAUUUUCUUGAAUUUAACCAAUGAUGAUUAAUCAUUGUUAGAAUUAUGUGACCUAAAUUCUAAGAGAUUGCUUGCAAGUCAAGUUAAACAAAAAUAUAUUUUCUUUCUAGAAGAUUUAGUAUUUAUUAGUAUAAUAUAUUUAGCAUUUAUUAGUAUAGUUUAUUUGACUUACUAAUUUAGCCUAUAAAUAGGCUCAUUUACAAUCUUAGAAUUAAAGAGACACCCAUUAGAUUAGAACUCAUAACACAUUCAGAGAAUUUUGUGUUUACGUUUGAGGGUUCUUUGUUUUUCGGGUUUUCGGGGUUUAGUUUUUAUCUCCAUCUUUUGUACUCUUCAUUCUUUUGCCAUUAUAGUAAAAUUAUCUUUGCCCGUGGUUUUUUAUCCUCUUUUGAGGGGUUUUUCCACGUUAAAUUUGUGUGUUCAUCUUCUCAAUUUCUUCUACUAUUUUUACUUGUUCGUUGCUUAAUCGGGAUGAUCCUAACAAGUGAUAUCAGAGCUAGUUUAACUUUCAUAGAUCAGCCCGGUCAGAGAUGGCAGCAACAAGGUUUGAAAUUGAGAAGUUCGAUGGUGAGACAAAUUUCAAUCUGUGGCAAGUUCGGAUGAUGGCAAUUCUAGUUCAAAAUGGCUUGAAAAAGGUUGUUACAGGGAAAAAGCCUGAGAAUCUAAAUCAAACAGAAUGGGAAGAGCUUGAUGAAAAGGCCUUGUCUGCAAUCCAGUUGUGCCUCGCGAAUACAGUAUUGCAGGAGGUAUUGAUGGAGAAGACCUCAUUCGCCUUGUGGAAAAGGUUAGAAACUCUUUAUGCGACUAAGUCUCUGGCUAACCGUUUAGUGUUGAAACAACAUCUAUUUACGUUUCGCAUGAACGAAGGUGAGCUUCUUAAAGAUCACAUCAGUCAAUUCAUUACUCUUUUAAAUGAUUUAAAGAACGUUGAGGUUCAUAUUGACGAUGAAGAUCAAGCUAUGCUAUUAUUGUGCUCUUUACCCUCUUAUACAAGUCUUUCAGGGAGACCCUGAUUUAUAGCAGAUAGACAAGCUUCCAUUUUGGUAGCAUCAAAGAAACGAGACAAAAGGUGUCGCUAUUACAAAAAGUUAGGUCACGUCAAAGCAGAUUGUUAUAAACUGCGAAAUAAAAGAGCUGCUGAGAGUAACGAGAAAGAUGUAGCUGGUGCUAAUUUGGUCAAUGAAGGCGGUGAUGAUUUCUUGUUAGUGUCAACGAGCGAUAACUCCAAGCUUACGUCUGAGUGGAUCCUAGAUUCAGGAUGUUCUUUCCACAUGUGUCCCAAUAGAGAAUGGUUCUCCACAUACAGUUCAGUUGAAGGUGGAGUUGUGCACAUGGGAAACGAUUCAUCUAGUAAAAUAAUCGGUAUUGGUACUGUUAAAAUUAGGAUACACGAUGGGACGAUUAGGACACUCUCAGAUGUUAGGUAUGUACCUGAUUUACGAAAGAAUCUCAUCUCCUUGAGUAUUUUAGACUUGAAAGGAUGCAGAAUCAACAUCGAGUCGAGCGACAUUAAAGUAUCUCGUGGAGCUCUCGUUUUGUUAAAAGGUAAAAGAACCGACAGUCUUUAUAUUCUGGAAGGUUCUACAGUGACCGGUGAAAUCAGACGUCCCUCGUCCGUUACGGAGUCAAAGUCAACUCAUUUGAAGUGGAGGCAACUUGGUCAUAGGAGGGAAAAAGGUAUGACUGUUUCGUUGAAGAGAGGUUCUCUUUUGGAUGCAGGUUUUGAAAAGUUAGGGCACUGUAUUCGUGAAAAUCAGACCCGGGUUAGUUUUGAUUUGGCAGUGCACAAGUCGAAGGCUAGAAGUCUUCCAGCUUCUAAGCAUAGAUUCGACUCAGUUAAUUCCCUGCAUAGUUCAAGAUAGGCCCAUGGCGGGUUUUGGCAAAGAUGGCAUUGAAAGAAUUCGUGUCAAGGUGGAGAUUGUUAGAAUUAUGUGACCCAAAUUCUAAGAGAUUGCUUGCAAGUCAAGUUAAACAAAAAUAUAUUUUCUUUCUAGAAGAUUUAGUAUUUAUUAGUAUAAUAUAUUUAGCAUUUAUUAGUAUAGUUUAUUUGACUUACUAAUUUAGCCUAUAAAUAGGCUCAUUUACAAUCUUAGAAUUAAAGAGACACCCAUUAGAUUAGAACUCAUAACACAUUCAGAGAAUUUUGUGUUUACGUUUGAGGGUUUUUUGUUUUUCGGGUUUUCGGGGUUUAGUUUUUAUCUCCAUCUUUUGUACUAUUCAUUCUUUUGCCAUUAUAGUAAAAUUAUCUUUGCCCGUGGUUUUUUAUCCUCUUUUGAGGGGUUUUUCCACGUUAAAUUUGUGUGUUCAUCUUCUCAAUUUCUUCUACUAUUUUUAUUUGUUCGUUGCUUAAUCGGGACGAUCCUAACAACCAUUAAUAUAUAAAACCAAAUAAGUAACAAGAAUGAAGUUUACUUUCUGAUAAUACUAAUCAAUAUGUAUCAUGAACUUAUAUCUCUUUUACUUUUCUCUUUUUCGUUAAAAUAUUUUGUCCUUAGCUUUGUUGUAUUAAUCGCUUAGUCCCCAGCCUCAAAUCUUUAUAUAUCUUAAUUCUUGGGCAAAUCUACAUUAAGAAAAUUACUUUGAAAAUUAUAACACGAAAUUGAUCGUUUAAUAAGCUACUAUCAUGGUAAAGAAUACUUGUAAUCUAUCUUAACUAGACAUUGUACUCAUGUUUGAAUAUGUGUUGGCCAUAUGAAAUCGAACAAAAAUGAAGGGUCCAACUCCAAAUAACUUAGCAUGUACUCACGUUUGAAAGUAAUUUUAGAACAAAGUAGAUUAUUUACAGUUUAUAUUAAAGAUGAAUUAACGCGAACAAGUAAAAAAUUCAGAAAGGAAAUAAAAUGACAAUUGAAUGAUGUGUUUUGAACUAUCAUUACUGAUGGAUAGGAGUGUUACACUAAUCACCAUCUCUAGUUCUCCACCCGGGGAGACUUAUAUCAGCUCUCCAAGGCAAAAAGGAUGGAGAAAAAAAUGUUUACAUGUAUUAGUGAUGUUUACUUUACAAAAUUGUAUCACCUGAUUUGUGUUAAUCAUCUCACAAUUACUACAAGCGAGAGGUAACUUCGAGAAAGGUGUCUUCAUUGCAGGGAAUCGUGAGACCACCAGUAGGAUGACUAUAUCCGAACUCUUCUUGUGACAUGCCUAGCAAAUCUUGAAAUGAAGGCUGGUUUAAGAACGACACCGGUAUCACGAACCUCUUCUGGUUUUCUCCAACAUAAACUGCAAAGUAGCCCUUGGGAACCUUCUUAGAGUUAAUGAUACGAGGCAGGCGGAUAGCCAUUGUUGUUUUCGAUAGAUGUAUUCUUCAAAAGGGAAGAGGAGGAAGAUCUCAGAGAACUUGGAAAUCUAAGGUAAAGAAGUUUAUUACUUGAAAAUGUGAAAGUAGGUAUUGCCAAUGAACUUAGUCUUACUUGUAUAUAUAGAUGCGAGUGGCCAAUGGAAAUGUUUCUCUAUUAAGUGGAGGAUGAGGAAUGAGUGGUGAAGGGACAAUUGCUGGGGUCUGAUCAUUAAUGAGAUAGACAUGGGUUAGUGGGGCAUCACAUGGUGUUGUUUUCCAAAGCAUUAUAAAGAAUUCCAUGGCAAAGACUUGAAAGAAUAGUUUGCCUACCCUUUCCGGCAGAACAAACCAACCAAGGUCCCACUUGAAUAUGGAAGAUUUGGAUCCUUAAAAACCUUCUUCACAGUAGAAGAUUCUUAUUACUUCACCAUUUACAUUAGAGGCAACCUUCAGAGACAAGCAAUCUGUCAUGCUGAAUUCACUCAAAAAAUAUGUCAUACAUGCUACAACUAGUCCCCAGGCUGUUGGUUAUGCUGUGCUGUAAUCAAAUAGUUCCACGGGGGAGAAAGACAACACUAAACCUGACAGCUGACGAAAUCUCCGGUAUGUGUUGCUAUAUAUGGAUAACCUUAGAGAUGAAUCUGUUUCCAUUCCACAUUUUUCUUGGCAUGUAAAUUCAUGGUUCUUUGCAUAUAUUGACUAUUCAUUAUUAUGUAUAAUGUGUUGAAGAACAGAUUUGAUAGCAUCAGCCAUUAAGCUCAAGUCACUUUGUUUAUUUAGUUUUUUUUUUGUAUCGAUGAGCUUUUUCAUAGUAUAAGAUUGGUAUUGUUUCACCAUUGAUGUUAGAGGCAAGCUUGAGACAUGUAAUCUGUUAUACUAUGACCAGAAACAUAUACAUUUGGGCUACCUUGACCUUCUAUGUUGACUUGACUAAGAAAAUGAAAAUAAACUAAGGGGCAUGAAUAUAUCUUUUUUGACACUGUUUUUCAAGGUCAAAAUCCUAGCUAUAACAUAUAUGAAGGUAUAUUUGUUACGUGCAUAUAUUUACUUAUUAUUGAUUAUUAAAGUCUCAUUCUCACCCCCUUUUUCAUCUUACCUAUGUGGCUGACAAAUUGGGGGUAAAGGGUAAGGUAUCAGAUCAAAAGGAAAUUUGUUGUAAAUUGUUAUGUUAGUGCAGGUACUCUGAAACCCAUAAUUCUCAUGUCACUGAAAAAAUCGUAAUGGCAGGAUAUGCACCUCUAAGGCUUCUCAAUAGCUAAGGCAUGAAAAUAUGUAUUAGACAGUAGGAAACUGUUGAAAUAUGUAUAUAUUUUAAAUUUAUUUAGGUAGAUAAGUUUUAUUCAUAUUCUAGGAAUAUUUUUAUUUUAUGUUUUAGUAGUUUAUUAGGACAAUGGAACUAUUUUCUUUCAUAUUUUAGUAGUUUAUUAGAAUAAGGGAACUAUUUUCCCAAUUAGGAUUAGAACUCUUUUCUCUAUUUAAGUUCAAUUCUUCAAUUAAUAAUAUAGAACAGUUUUAUUAAAAGCUCUCUUGAAAACUUUCAUGGCAUCUGAGCUAGGUUAAAAUCUCUAGUAACAUCAUGGUUAAAACAACCUUCACUAGAGAAGAAAAAACCUUGGUGCGAUUACUGCAAAAAAUAUUGGCACACUCGAGAAACGUGUUGGAAGCUCCAUGGGAAAUCGACAAAUGGAAGGAAAAAGAGUGGCAAUGGUCGUGGUUCACAAUUAGGGGAUAGCAGAGCUUUCCAAACAACUAAUGGAAAUUAUAAGGGCUAAAGUUCUCUGGAAGGGUCUCCAUUCACUAAGGAACAAUUAGAGCAUCUACACAAGUUUUUUCAAUCACCACAAUUUCGGAUGAAUUCUUCAAUUCCUAACUCAUCCAAUAAUCCUUCUUCCUCUGUUGCCCAAUCAGGUACUGAUUUUUCUAUUUUUUUCAGUGUCAAGCCUUGUAAAACAAACACAUGGAUCAUUGAUUCUGGAGCUAGUGAUCACAUGACUAGUAGUUAUUUUCUUUUUUCAACUUACAUACCUUGCGCAGGAAACAAAAAGAUCAAAGUAGCAGAUGGGUCCUUCUUGGCAAUAGCCGGGAAAGGCACUGUCAAAAUUUCAUCUUCCUUGGUUUUACAUGAUGUUUUACAUGUGCCAAAUCUAGCUUGUAAUCUCAUAUUGGUCAGUAAAUUAUCCCAGUCCUCAAAUUGUCAUGUUAUAUUUGACUCCUCUAUGUGUAAGUUUCAGGACAUGGUCUCGGGGAGGAUGAUUGGCAAUGCUAAAGAAUUUGGUGGAAUUUACUUUCUUGAAGAUGACCAUCUAAGUCAACCAAUAACUACUUUAUGUUUAAAUUCUGUUUCUGAUAAGGUUAUGAUUUGGCAUUAUAGGCUUGGACAUCCUAAUUUUUACUAUUUAAGAUAUUUGUUACCUAAUCUUUUUAAAAAUAAAAGUCAUUCUUCAUAUCAUUGUGAAUUUUGUGAAUUGCUAACAUCAUCGGUCAUUCUUUCCACUUCAAAAAUAUAAAGCCUCCAAACUUUUUUCGUUAAUUCAUAGUGAUGUUUGGGGACCUUCAAGAGUCUCGACCUUUUCAGGAAAACGUUGGUUUGUCACUUUUAUUGAUGAUCAUACUCGACUUUGUUGGGUGUUUUUAUUAAAAGAUAAGUCUGAAGUUAAAAAUGUGUUUCAAUCUUUUUAUACUAUGGUGAAAACACAAUUUGGUGUGAAAAUAGAAGUAUUUCGGACUGAUAAUGGUGGAGAACUUUUUAGCGACCAAUUAGGUGUUUUCUUAACCAAACAUGGAAUAGUCCACCAAAGUUCUUGUACAAAUACACCAUAGCAAAAUGGGAUUGCAGAAAGAAAAAACCGACAUCUUUUGGAAGUAACUAGAGCCUUGAUGUUCACUAGUCAGGUACCACGUUAUCUUUGGAGCGAAGCCUUGUUAACAGCUACAUAUCUUUUAAUAGAAUGCCCAGUAAAACUCUAAACAAUAGAACUCCUUUUAGUCUCUUUAAAGAUAAUUUUCCUAACUCUAAAUUGAUCACAGAUUUAUCCCUCCGAGUUUUUGGGUGUAGUGUUUUUGUUCAUCUUCACAACCAAGGUAAACUAGAUCCUAGAGCAAAAAAAUGUGUCUUUGUUGGUUAUGCUUCUACUAAAAAGGGUUACAAAUGUUAUGAUCCAAUUGAUAGGAAGAUUAUUAUUACCAUGGAUGUCACAUUUGUUGAAACACAAUCUUAUUUUGAUUCUAAUCUUCAGGGAGGGAAUUAUACUAAGGAAGAUUCUAUAAUUGAUCAAGAAAAGAUUAGGAAUAUACAACAUAGGGAUUCUAAUAAUGGGGAAGGCGAAUUUAUAAUUAACACAGAAAUUAAUGAUGUUAAUGUUAAUGAAAAGGAGGAUGAAGGUGUAGAGUCUAAUCAUGAGAAUAAAAAACAAACAAAGGAGUUAAUUGUUUAUUCAAGAAGAAAUCGAAAUCAAGAAAGUGGAAUCCACUAGAUUCAUCACCAAGAAUCCGACCCGCAAGAUCCUGUCAAAAGUCCAGGUAAAACUCAUAAUCCAGUUAAUGAAUUUUCUGAUUUAAAUAUUUCAAUUGCCAAAAGAAAAGGUGUUAGAAAUAUUGUCAAAUAUCCCAUGUCUAACUUUGUAUCCUAUAAAGCCUUGUCUUCGACAUUCUCAACCUUUGUUUCGUGUCUCGAUACUGUACAAAUACCCAAAAAUGUGAAAGAUGCUUUACAGGUUCCUGAGUGGAAGGAGGCUAUUUUAGAAGAGAUGCGCGCUUUUGAAAAAAUAGGUACAUGGGAAACAAUGGAAUUACCUGUAGGGAAAAAAACAAUGGGCUGUAAAUGGGUGUUCACAACCAAAUUCAAACCAGAUGGAUCUUUAGAUAGAUACAAAGCCCGGUUGGUGGCUAAAGGGUACACUCAAACAUAUAUGAUAGAUUAUCUUGAAACGUUUGCUCCAGUGGCCAAAUUAAAUUCCGUUAGAGUUCUUUUAUCAAUUGCUGUUAAUCUUAAUUGGUCUUUAUAGCAGUUAGAUGUGAAGAAUGCUUUCCUAAAUGGAAAACUUGAAGAAGAAGUUUACAUAGAUCCUCCUCCAGGUUUUGAAGAAAAAUUUGGAACUCGAGUAUGUAAACUCAAGAAAUAUUUGUAUGGUCUGAAGCAGUCUCCUUGAGCUUGGUUUGAACUAUUCACUCAAGUUGUUAAAAAACAAGGUUACUCACAAGGGCAAGCUGAUCACACAAUGUUUUAUCGACAUUCACAAAAAGGUAGAAUAGUAGUUAUUAUAGUUUAUGUCGAUGGUAUCAUUCUUACAGGAGAUGAUGUGGAUGAAAUAAGGCGUCUCAAGGAGCAUCUAGCAUUGCAGUUUGAGAUUAAAGACUUGGGUCCUUUGAAAUACUUUCUUGGAAUGGAAGUUGCUCGAUCAAAGAAGGGUCUUGUGGUCUCUCAGAAAAAAUAUGUGAUUGAUCUUUUAAAAGAGGCUGGGAUGAGUGGUUGCCGCCCAGCUGACACACCAAUUGAUCCAAAUGUAAAAUUCGAAAAUAAAGAAGGUCGAUUAGUUGAUAAAGGGCAGUACCAAAGAUUAGUUGGUAAGUUAAUUUACUUAUCACAUACAAGGCCAGACAUUGCUUUUGCAGUGAGUUUAGUGAGUCAAUUUAUGCACUCCCCAAUGGAGGAACAUGAAGAAGCAGUGUUUCGAAUUCUAAGAUACUUAAAGAGUUCACCGGGAAAGGGCUUAUUCUUCAAGAAAUCCGAACAAAGAGGAAUUGAAGCUUAUACAGAUGCAGAUUGGGCAGGCUCAAUAAUAGAUAGAAGAUCUACAUCAGGAUACUAUACAGGGGAAACCUUGUGACUUGGUGAAGCAAAAAACAAAGUGUUGUAGUAAGAAGUAGUGCAGAGGCUGAGUUUAGAUCAAUGGCUCAAGGAAUUUGUGAAAUGAUGUGGUUAAAAAGAAUUAUGGAAGAGCUGAGGAAACCAAUAACUUCACCAAUGAAGUUGUACUGUGAUAGCAAAGCUGCCAUUAGUAUUGCUCACAACCCAGUCCAACAUGAUAGAACUAAACAUGUUGAGAUUGAUAGACACUUCAUCAAUGAGAAGAUUGAAGAAGGCCAAGUGUGCAUGCCGUUUGUUCCUUCAAAACAACAGAUUGCUGACAUACUCACCAAAGGACUCUCUAAGACAAACUUUGAUUUUCUUGUAAGCAAGUUGGGCAUGAUUGAUAUAUAUGCACCAACUUGAGGGAGGGUGUUGAAAUAUAUAUAUAUUUUAAAUUUAUUUAGGUAGAUAAAUCUUAUUUAGGUAGAUAAGUUUUAUUCAUAUUCUAGGAAUAUUUUUAUUUUAUGUUUUAGUAGUUUAUUAGGACAAGGGAACUAUUUUCUUUUAUAUUUUAGUAGUUUAUUAGAAUAAGGGAACUAUUUUCCCAAUUAGGAUUAGAACUCUUUUCUCUAUUUAAGUUCAAUUCUUCAAUUAAUAAUAUAGAACAGUUUUAUUAAAAGCUCUCUUGAAAAAUUUCAGAAACACCCUUUCAACUAGUAUAAAGAGAGAAAAUAUGUCGCAUGGACUUGCCUGCCAGAAUGUGAACAAAGCUGGUCUGAACUUUCCAUGUUACUUUAUAUUAUCUUGAGAUUUAAUAUCACCACUUCACAACGCAAAUCAGUGGCUAUCCCACCCUGAACUGAUAUUUGUUUGCAGGAGCUGUCCGUAAUGCAAUAUGCCAGGUAUCGAUGGUUAAAUUGUAGGGGCAACUCUGUGGACUAGUCUAACAUUAUCAAAAGUUCCACUGUCAAAUUUCCUGGUUAUCUUCAUUACCUCCAGACACCAAAACAAGCAAGUUGAUCAGCUCAUGUGAUGCUGUUGCUUGACAUAUCCUAAAGGAGAGUGAUGGUCAAAACCGGGGACUAAUCUGACAAUACAGUAUACUUAAUGGGUACAUUAAGCUAAAUAAUAAGCGAUUUUUUCCUUAGAAUGACCAAAUCCACCUCAAAUGGACAAAGAUAAAAGAAAAUAUAACAUUUCAUUGUAUCAGCCAACUUAGAAACUUUUAUAGGUAAAGGCAUACCAUUUAAUCAAAUGACUUGGUCCCAUACCUCAGAUCUUUAUCUAUCUUAAUCCAUUGUCAAAGCUGCUUAAGGAAUUUUUUUACGUGAAUUAUGAAACUAUGUACAUGUAGUUUAUAUUAUGCAUAUUUGAGGGUGAAUGUUGGAGGAUUAUACUCUUGUACUUACAUCUGAAUAUGUGUUGGCUAUAGGUGUUAGAACAGAUAUUUUAAGAAAAAUGAAGUGUUUAUAUAACUUGGCUUGUAUGUUGAAGUAAUUUGUGAACAAUGUAAAUCAUUUACAGUUAAAUUAUAUAUGAAACCAACAAUAACAAUGGGACCACAGGAAAUUAUAAGAAGAAAUAAAAUUUCAAUUGAAUGAUGUGUUCCAAACUGUUACAGAAGCCACCAUCUCUAAUAUUCCACUCAGGGAGACUUAUCAUCUGCUCCCCGAGGCAAAAAGGAUGGGAAAAAAGUGUAAAUGGUGUUAGUGAUGUUUGCUUUACAGAAAUGUAUGAGCUGAUUUGUCUUACUUCAAGCGAGAGGUAACAUCGAGAAAGAUGUCUUCGUUGCAGGGAAUUGUGAGACCGCCAGUAGGAUGACUAUAUCCGAACUCUUCUUGUGACAUGCCUAGCAAAUCUUGAAAUGAAGGCUGGUUCAAGAAUGAAACUGGUAUCACAAACCUCUUCUGGUUUUCUCCAACAUAAACCGCAAAGUAGCCCUUGGGAACUUUCUUAGAGCUAAUGAUACGAGGUAGGUGGAUAGUCAUUGUUGUUUUUGAUAGAUGUAUGCUUCUCAAAGGGAAGAAAAGGAAG
rnacentral:lncRNA from 1 species